UACGUAGGGGGCAAGCGUUGUCCGGAAUUAUUGGGCGUAAAGAGCGUGUAGGCGGCCAGAUAAGUCCGCUGUGAAAUCUCGAGGCUCAACUUCGAGCUGUCGGUGGAAACUAUCUGGCUAGAGUCCGGAAGAGGAGAAUGGAAUUCCUGGUGUAGCGGUGAAAUGCGCAGAUAUCAGGAAGAACACCCGUGGCGAAGGCGGGUCUCUGGGCCGUAACUGACGCUGAGGAGCGAAAGCGUGGGGAGCGAACAGG
rnacentral:rRNA from 1 species